rnacentral:rRNA from 1 species
GACGAACGCUGGCGGCGUGCUUAACACAUGCAAGUCGAACGAUGAUCAGGAGCUUGCUCCUGUGAUUAGUGGCGAACGGGUGAGUAACACGUGAGUAGACUGCCCCUGACUCUGGGAUAAGCGUUGGAAACGACGUCUAAUACUGGAUACGACUGCCGGCCGCAGGGUCUGGUGGGGGAAAGAUUAUUUGGUUGGGGAUGGACUCGCGGCCUAUCAGCUUGUUGGUGAGGUAAUGGCUCACCAAUGCGACGACGGGUAGCCGGCCUUAGAGGGUGACCGGCCACACUGGGACUGAGACACGGCCCAGACUCCUACGGGAGGCAGCAGUGGGGAAUAUUGCACAAUGGGCGAAAGCCUGAUGCAGCAACGCCGCGUGAGGGAUGACGGCCUUCGGGUUGUAAACCUCUUUUAGUAGGGAAGAAGCGAAAGUGACGGUACCUGCAGAAAAAGCACCGGCUAACUACGUGCCAGCCGCCGCAGUAA